ensembl:lncRNA
UGACCUCUACUGGAGAAGCUUUGGCAACAACCACACAAACUGGUGCGUGAAGUUUGUAUGAAUAUUUGUAAAAGUAAAACAAACCUUAAAAUGUCCUCCUCUCAUGAUCAUAUCAUGCUGCAUAUUAAUAAAAUAAUAAUAAUAAUAAACAACUGCACAUAAUGCAUCGGAUUUUGUGCAAUUAAAUGUAUUCCCUUAAUUUAAUACAAACUGUAAUAUAAAAUGGAUUAAAUUAUUUUUUCUUUUGAUAGAUCCAUUGCUUUAUUUCUGUCUGGACUCAUAGGAUUCAUCUGUCUGUGCCGCUUUACCAGUAAGUACAAUGUACAGGUUUAGUUGUGUAUAAACUAAAUUCCAUGAUACAGAAACAUAUGAUAAUAAAGUCUGUAUCUCUGCAGGUUCUGCUGAUGUUCUCACAGAACUGAACUUGACCUCCUGCCAGAUGGAAACAACAUCUCUUUUAACUUCCUCUGUGUGCUCCUCAAAACAUGAAUGACCUGUUUGUUCUUCACUGCAUAUUAAAUCUAAUUUCUAUAGCCUAGUUUUUACACUUUUUUUAAUCAGCUAGUUUAAUAUACACGCACAUGCAAGUUCUAACAAAAAAGUUCAUAUUUUCACUGCAAUUGUUAUAGUUUUGUUUGUUUUAUAUCCUCUGUCAAACAGUUGUCUGACCAAUGAACAAAUUAAUAAUUUGUGUGCUUUUAUAAUUUCCAUAUUAUUAAAUUUGAUAUCAUAAUCUAGUCUAUGUUCAAGUCUAAUAGUAGUAUUUUUGGCAUAUUUAAAUGUUACUUUAAAAAAAAAUUACCUUCUGUCUUCAGUAUAUGAGUUUGAGCACAAAAUGUGCCCCAGAUCUGCCUUCUGUUAACAUGAAUUUGAGUUGUACAUGUGAUCACAUGAUCUACAUUCAUAGAACUGACUGCACAAUGGAUAAAAAUGGCUUCCUGUGGUCUGAUGCCCUACUUCCUAAUUCCUCUAUUGUACGUGUCAUCUCUUUUCUGACACUCGCUGUAAUGGAGUUGAUCGUUUUCAUAGUGAUUCAGCUCCUGAUGGAGGUUCAGUCCUACACAUCUCCUAGUGUAAAAGUAUCUCCAGAUGUCAUAAGAGAGUCCAGCUCAGUGAAGAUCAGAUGUGAGAUGCCAGCAGGUGAUCCUGUGAAUCAGUGUUAUUUCUACAUAAACAGUGAGGAGAAGAAUGUAAAAACCAGUUAUAGAUGUGAGCUCGAGCUCAAUGGUGCUGAAGUGUUCAGAUGGGCAGCUGUAAAAUCACCUGAAUCACUCAACAUUAUCUGUUACUACACAAUACAGGGGAUUAAUAAAACAUCACCUCAUUCUCCUCCUGCCACAGUGACGGUUCGAGCUUUACCUGUAAUGUCCACUUCUGAAGCCACAACAUACACUACAACUGUUACCAUUACAAACACCACUUUGCCUGGGGACAUUAGAAUAUCAGAACAUAGUAAGUACUUAAGGCUGGAAUGCACUGCGACUUUUAAAAUCUGAACUAAUUUUAAAAUCUGAACCAAUUUUUAAACACCAGACAUCAUACAUUUACAGACUUUGUACAUAGUUACAGAGGAAAACUGGCCAUCAUACAUUAAAUGACUGAGGAUCAAACACUACCAGACUUUCAAGUAGAGUUCUCCAAAAAGAUAUCUGAACAAAAUGUUAAAUCACACUGGAACAUUCUGUGUUUCACCCAAUAUGUUUGCUUAUUUAUUUAAUUUUUUGGGGGAAGGUAUAUAGAUUUAAUAAAAUGUUACAAAGUGGGGUAUUUUUUUUUAUU